CUCAAAUUUGAAAUCUGGUACUUUCAGUGCCCGAGUUGUAAUUUGUAGAAUUUGUCUUUGAUUAGGUCCUUGUCUAUGUUCCUUGGAACAGGACGUCAUAGAGGGUGAGAAUCCCGUUUGGCGAGGAUACCUUUUCUCUGUAAGACUUUUUCGAAGAGUCGAGUUGUUUGGGAAUGCAGCUCAAAGUGGGUGGUAAAUUCCAUCUAAAGCUAAAUAUUGGCGAGAGACCGAUAGCGAACAAGUACAGUGAUGGAAAGAUGAAAAGAACUUUGAAAAGAGAGUGAAAAAGUACGUGAAAUUGUUGAAAGGGAAGGGCAUUUGAUCAGACAUGGUGUUUUUUGCAUGCACUCGCCUCUCGUGGGCUUGGGCCUCUCAAAAAUUUCACUGGGCCAACAUCAAUUCUGGCAGCAGGAUAAAUCAUUAAGAAUGUAGCUACUUCGGUAGUGUUAUAGCUUUUUGGAAUACUGUUAGCCGGGAUUGAGGACUGCGCUUCGGCAAGGAUGUUGGCAUAAUGGUUAAAUGCCGCCCGUCUUGAAACAC
rnacentral:rRNA from 1 species